rnacentral:rRNA from 1 species
AUUGAACGCUGGCGGCAGGCCUAACACAUGCAAGUCGAACGAGUGGCGGACGGGUGAGUAAUGUCUGGGAAAGUGCCUGAUGGAGGGGGAUAACAAAUGGAAACGGUAGCUAAUACCGCAUACCAUCGGAUGUGCCCAGAUGGGAUUAGGUAGUAGGUGGGGUAAAGGCUCACCUAGGCGACGCUCCCUAGCUGGUCUGAGAGGAUGCCCAGCCACACUGGAACUGAGACACGGUCCAGACUCCUACGGGAGGCAGCAGUGGGGAAUAUUGCACAAUGGGCGCAAGCCUGAUGCAGCCAUGCCGCGUGUAUGAAGAAGGCCUUCGGGUUGUAAAGUACUUUCAGCGGGGAGGCGUUACCCGCAGAAGAAGCACCGGCUAACUCCGUGCCAGCAGCCGCGGUAAUUC